rnacentral:rRNA from 1 species
ACGAACGCUGGCGGCGUGCUUCACACAUGCAAGUCGAACGGAAAGGCCCUGCUUUUGUGGGGUGCUCGAGUGGCGAACGGGUGAGUAACACGUGAGUAACCUGCCCUUGACUUUGGGAUAACUUCAGGAAACUGGGGCUAAUACCGGAUAGGAGCUCCUGCUGCAUGGUGGGGGUUGGAAAGUUUCGGCGGUCGGGGAUGGACUCGCGGCUUAUCAGCUUGUUGGUGGGGUAGUGGCUUACCAAGGCUUUGACGGGUAGCCGGCCUGAGAGGGUGACCGGCCACAUUGGGACUGAGAUACGGCCCAGACUCCUACGGGAGGCAGCAGUGGGGAAUAUUGCACAAUGGGCGGAAGCCUGAUGCAGCAACGCCGCGUGCGGGAUGACGGCCUUCGGGUUGUAAACCGCUUUCGCCUGUGACGAAGCGUGAGUGACGGUAAUGGGUAAAGAAGCACCGGCUAACUACGUG